AAACCAGCACCUCAAGUGGUCAGGAGGAUUAUUGGGCCUAAAGCAUCCGUAGCCUGCUUUGUAAGUUUUCGGUUAAAUCCAUAUGCUCAACAUAUGGGCUGCCGGGAAUACUGCACAGCUAGGGAGUGGGAGAGGUAGACGGUACUCGGUAGGAAGGGGUAAAAUCCUUUGAUCUAUUGAUGACCACCAGUGGCGAAGGCGGUCUACCAGAACACGUCCGACGGUGAGGGAUGAAAGCUGGGGGAGCAAACCGGAUUAGAAACCCUGGUAGUCC
rnacentral:rRNA from 1 species